AAGUAAAAGCAAAACAAAGGCAUGGGAAAAUUAAGGGAAACAAUUUCUGCUCCAGUCGAGGACACUCAAAUUUUCAUCUUAAAAGGUCAAUUGCACAGUAAACCUUGCUGUGUUUCAGCAAGUGACAUGGACUAGGUAAAACAUCUAGAACUGUUUUCUCGUUGCGUUAAGAAAAGCAUCUAAACUUGUCACCGACCAUUUGUAAAGGUAGGAAAUGCAAACAAUCACAAAAAGUAAAGGCUAUAGAUUUGUGCAAGCAUUCUGACUGGUUUCGACAAUCGGCCGAGUCAUGUGUACCAAAACAAUCAGACAAGAAAGUUCCUAAACAAUCGCAGUGAAAGUAUAAACAAAUGGAGUUGUUCUGGAUUGUGUAAGCUAUACCUACUGGUACACGUAGCUGCUUGCAAACGUUUGGUAGAGGAUCACAGCGGAUAAAUUUUAAACAAUCUGACAACCAGCUAAAGUUGAUGAUCGUCAAAGACUCAUUUCAAGUUUCCAGUGUGAGCAAAUCUGUGAUUUGUUAUUGACAGAGAAUAUUAGUGAAAACAGCUAUGUUUAAGCAACAUCAGCAUCAAUGGAUUUUGACAAAGCUUAGCGCUAUACUUGUAUGUGCUAUUGGUAUCAUUAACUUCAAUUUUAUGCUUCCAGGGCAUGCUUUGACACCAGUAGGACCGGAACGACCAUUAAUUGGAAUUCUGUCGCAGACUAUCACAGACAAACUAAUACAUAAAUAUUUUCCAUACUCAAAGAAGAAAUCGUACAUAGCGACGUCAUAUGUUAAGUUUGUACAAGCCGGCGGUGCAAGAGUGGUUCCAAUUCUGGACACUUACGACAGCAAAAAUCUCACUAGAAUUUUCAGUUCAUUAAAUGGCUUGCUUUUGCCAGGUGGUGGAUCAAAUCUAAAGAAUUCGAAGUACAUAAAAGCCAUACGAAAAUUGCUAAAAUUAGCAAUAAAACAAAAUGAAGAUGGAGGAUACUUUCCUGUGUUUGGUAUAUGUCUAGGUUUUGAAGCUAUGCAUGUGUUUUUUGAAAAGAAAAGAAACUUCUUAUCAGAUCUCGAUGUUGAAAAUAAAAGCUUGCCAAUCAAGUUCGACAAAACGUAUAGAACAAGCCGCCUUUUCUUUAACAUGUCUAAAGAACUGAGAAGUGCUUUGCAGAGUAAACCCAUAACACCAAAUUUUCACCACGAAGGAAUCCAUCCAAGCUGGUAUAAAAGAAGUAGCGUUCUUGCCAAACAGUAUCGUCUUCUGGCCACUUCACUUGACAGGAAGGGUAGACCAUUCGUAGCUGCUAUGGAAGGCAAGCGUUAUCCGUUCUACGGCCUGCAAUUCCACCCAGAGAAGCCAGCAUACGAAUGGCAUCCAACGCUGGAUAUUCCUCACACAUCCGAGGCUGUAAGAGUUGGACAAUACUUUGCAGAUUUUUUCGUGAACGAAGCAAGAAAAAACAAGAACUCGUUUUCAUCUUACGAAGAGGAGAUCCAGAUGAUCAUUGAUCGUUACCCUCCAACAUAUACAGCAUUUAAUGUUAAUAGUUCGAUGCCAUUUGACGGUAUAUAUAUCUUAUAAAAUGACAAAGCAAAUCACUGCCUGCCAAACUAAAGUGCUGCUUGUGCCUGGUUUGAAUAACAGGCCUAAUUUCAAGUCCUUUUUAGCAGAAGAACAGCGCGACAUUUCAAGGAUUGAAAUUCUUUACACCAACAAAGUGCCUGGUUCAUGGACAAAAUUAUGCUAAAAGUUGACAUAGUUAUGUUAAUCAUAUUAGACACAGUAAAAAGGUAGAAGUUCAAGACUAGCCAGCUCGUGAAAGGGUAAUGGAUCAGUCUUGCAUUUCUACUUUCAAUGAAACAAUUAUCCAGAAUUUAAUUGCUUAUAAUUAAGCAUACCCUCCAUACAUCGUGUGUUAAGCAACCUUUCUCUAUUUUCUUGCAGUCUAAAUGAAAUUUAUUAAUAAACUUUUGAGGGUUUUUCCUCAAAUUCUAAACUCAUUUUACCUCCAUUUAAGAAUAAUUACAAUGAUAUUUUGAAUUUUCUUUCUUUCUUGAAGCCACGUAGAAGCAACAACAAUGUAGAAUGAGAAGGGUCUUAGAAUAAGCUCAGGGACGCCGGAACACGGGGGUUUGUUGAAGUGGUCUCAAUGGCCUUAGCAAGAGUCAGCAAUUUUCUUUUUUUGUCAUUGUUUUGUCCUUUUUUCUGGCGCUUUGGCCUCUUCUGCUCUACAGCUUUUAUCGCAUUCUCAAAUAAGCUAAAUACAAGAAUUUUGCUCUAUAAAUUGAGUGUGCCACAGAAUUGGAAAUAGGCAGAAGGGUAACUCUCGUCGGUUCCUUUGUUGUUUUGGAAGCCCGAGACAACCAUAGAAUUCCUUAAUUCCCCUUUAACCUCGAUUUCAUUAGAAGAACUUAGCUAUGACAAAUCAUCAUUCAUUAAUCAGAUAUAAACGAAUUAUGAUACAUAAUUGAAUUUGUUCACUAUCAUGAAGCAUUUCGUCUCAAAUAAAGUUGUCUACUAUCAUUCUUUUUUAAAAUUUCCCCGACAGAUACAUGCUAAGCCUCGUAGAAGUUAACGCAUGCGCUAGUUUUUUCAGGCUUCACCUGAUAGGCAGGAGUUCCCCUUCUACCUAAUUCCUAUUCUGUGAUUGUGCUCUACACAGGUAAGAAUCAAGGAAGGCUAUUGCAUGGUGCAAACUAUCGAAAAUGAGCGUUUGCGGUUAUUAGGCUUGAAGGUUAGAGAUAGGUCUUUCGUGCUCAUCGAUUUGCCACAGUGACGGUUCUUUGAAAAUUUGCAAGUCUGGAUAAUGAUUGCGACAAUUUCAUGCUUGAGUAACCAAGCAUGAAUGUUUGCCGGUUCCAGAGACAUGGAAUUCGGCUUCUAGUAGCGAUGCUAGGAAACGUUUCUGGGGGGUUACAAAUUAUGAUUCUACAAACGUUUUAUAAUGCGAUACACGACUUGAUAGAAUCACAUAAGGAUAUAUGUUUAAGUAUGCAAUAUUGACAAUGAUGAAAGAACAUCAUCUAGGCGAUUGAGGACCCGACUGUAAGAUUGUAACGAGGCGAGAUUGUAAAGUAGAAUAGAACGUGUUAUUGGAAUUAGCAGUACCCCCUGGAAUUAACAAGCCUAGACUGUAGCAUAUAAUGCAAAUAAAGGGGAGCUGGAAAGAGAAGAUUUGCAGUUUUGACUUUAACGAUAUCAAAAGAUAACGUGCAUAGUAGAUAUGGCCACUGUGGCAGGUACUUUGAAAAGAGAAUGUUUUAUUUUCAGUGCAUCUAUGUUAUACCUGGGACCGGCUAGGAAACCAUUACUGCUAUUGUUUUUGCUGCUGCAUUUUGUGAAUCGAGUGCAGUGUGAAGAGCUGAAUGAUAGGCCCAUAAUUGGCAUGCUAGCAAUGAAAAUAACAGACAAGGUCAUUCUAGCAGAGAAACCAGAGCUAGAGGGGAAAUCUUAUAUUGGAGCAUCUUAUGUGAAGUUUAUCCAGUCUGCUGGUGGAAGGGUUGUCCCUAUUGUCGACGACCCCAAGCAAAUCAAAACCUUGGACAACGUGCUUAAGAAAGUGAAUGGAAUUAUGCUUCCUGGCGGAGAGAUCAACUUAAUCGAUUCAAAAUAUUACCAGAUCGCAAGACGGAUAUUUAAGAAAGCAAUCGAGCUAAACGAGGCUGGCAUACACUUUCCAGUGUUUGGGAUUUGCCGAGGAUUUCAGGCCCUGCCAGUCCUUACAGAAAAAAGCAUACAGAUUUUGAAACUUUUUGAGUCUAAAAACAUUAGCUUGCCAAUGCACAUUGAGGACGGUUACAAAAGCAGCAAAAUGUUUAAAGAUUUGCCUGAUGAUUUGAAAAAAGUUAUGGAAACCAAAGAUAUAACUGCUAAUUAUCAUAAAUAUGGAAUUUACCCAAGUGAAAUGAGGACAAAUAAAGACCUGAAAGAAUGGUACAAAGUAUUGGGGACUUCAAUUGAUCAAAAAGGGAAGAAAUUUGUUGCUGCAUAUGAAGGUAGAAAAUUUCCCUUCUAUGGACUUCAGUGGCAUCCUGAGAAGGCAGCAUUUGAAUGGCAUCCUGAAAAAGAUACCAGACAUAGUUGGGAUGCAGUGAGGCUGGGACAAUACUUUGCGAAUUUCUUCGUUAACGAGGCGAGAAAAAACAGUCAGAAUUUUGGUUCAUAUGAAGAGGAACUCAAAUGGGUGAUAGAAAAACAUCAACCACUUUUCACCGGAUUUAUAACAGAAAGCAAGACGCCAUUUGAUCAAAUAUAUGUGUUUUGAUUUCAAAUAGUAGACAAAGUGGAUAGGAACAAUGUGAAUUUUAAAUAAUAAGCUGGAGACGAUUACAAGAUUUUCUACCUCUGUUACACUGUGCACGGUGACAACAAGAGCCAAUAAAAACAUACGUUUUAAGUAGUUAUCAUGAUGUCAUAGAGAUUAUAAAUUGAUGCAUUCAUGUAUUCGUCGUCUCAAGCAAAUUUUUCAUACUUAUCUUUUCUUCUAAACCAACUGCUACUGCGCAUCACGUCAGGCUGCAACAUACGAUGGUCUACAACUGUCACGCUAAAAGCCAUAAGUGCUUUGUUUUGAUCGUGAGCAAUUUCUUUUAGCCGCGAGCAAUUUUUAGCCGUGACAGUUUUGGGCCACCGUAGCAACAGCACUGGCGAGAACUGGCUUCUUUUUUCUUCUUCCCUGUAUUUUGUCUAAGACCCACCGCAACUGUGCCGAUAAAAGCGAGAAAAGAGACAAGAAACAGAAAGGAUUUAGCUCACAAACAUAGCAAAGGAACUUUUUCGGACUAGCUUAAGAUUAAUUGCUUUUUUACGAGAGACGAUGUACUACGUCAGUUACGCAGAACUUUAGAUGUUUGCAUUUUUCAAAGCCAUUAUCAAACUUUGUUCACAAAAAGUUGAUAGCAAAUAUUGCAAAGAGGUUUCAAAUACUGGUUAUAAUUUAUAAAGCAAAUAUACUUUUCUCACAAUAAAUAGUAGCGUACUAAAAUCUUUAUCAAUAAGAUUUCAUUCUGUGGUGAAUUUUUCUUUCUCGAGUCUUGUCCUUUACGGAUGAAAUGUGUGCUGCAAAGCGUUUCGCUACCAAUUCAUUUUGCCUUUACGGAAUUUUGAUAGCUUUAAUUGCAUAACUGAUGCAAGAAGGUGUUUAGAAAUCUUUGCAAUUCUGAGACCUGUAACUGACAAUUACAACUUAACCAGAAGAUUUACCUUAAUUUCUAAUAAUGUUUUCAUUAUUCUCACUAUUGGUAACAACUUGUUCAUUACAAAAUAAAAACAAACAAGUUAUCUUAAAUUAAUUUUAUACUUAUCUCAAAUAUUUCCUUUCCCUUAACGAUAAAUACUAACGAAACAUAAAACCUUUUCCCAAACACAACACAAAAACAAACGCAAAAAGGACGAAGCUUGGAAAGAUUGAAAUUCAAGUCCUGUACUGCAACUGGCAACAAGAAGAAUACUUCCAGACACACUUUAAACACGGCACCUAUCAUGAAAAAGACUGGUGAAGCUUGCCCAAGAGCAGAAAAGAAUAUCUUAUAAUCUCAUGUGCAGAUCUAGACAGUUUGAGGUGGGUAUCCACCCUUGGAAACAAUUUCACACUGAUUCAAAUAACACCAGUUGUGUAAAAAAGGGAUAGUUCCGUAUGAUGAUCCUUUUAGCAAAUAAAGCCUUCGAUAGCAAAAUUUGAAGAUUUCUGUCUACAUAAAAAAAAUGGAAGAGUUUCUUCAGAAUGAGUCUUCUUUGGCUUUUCAUACUGGUGAGAACUUACAGGCCGCCGAUUGGUCAAAAGCAAGGAACUAAUCAGACGCGCUAUUCUUCUUCUCACGUCAACUCGAUCCGCAUCCGGUAAACAAGUCCCCCGGUCACUCAUAAACGACGGAGUUCGUUUUGAACAAAACAAAGGAAAAUAAAUCUCAUCAAAAAGUUAACUCAUAGGGGACUGAUGAUUUGUUCCAAGUAUAAGCUCGAUUCGGAUCUUGAAUAACUAAAAAAGAUUAUUCUCUAGAACGGCUAUCCAGAGGAUGUCAUGUUUACUUAUAUUAAGGAAAAGAUUUUCAAGAUUUUCAGCUGAAGCAAAAUUUGAUCCGCAAAUUGCCAAGUUUUUCUAAAACUACAAUGGAUCGGUAACAGUUCCUUGCGAUUUUAAAGUCAGAUUAAACAGGCCAUUACAAAAUGUGUCUUUGCUGUCAAUCAGCGUACUGUUUACAGUACAAAAAGGCCUUUCCAUCCAUUCAGAAGGACUGCGUUCCUACCACCCAAAAGAGUUCAGUUAUCCAUGGGUCUACAUGGCAGUAUGCUUCUGGCUACGUAGGACACAACAAACGACCUAAAGAUCAGGAGAUAGAAUAAAACAGCAUGUCCCUUCCAGCAUUACAAACAAAGAUCUUCCCAAAAGAGAACAGCCUCUUCUGUCUUGCAGAUAUGAAACAACUAGUAAAACAUGCAAUUCCGUUAUCGGGCAGCAUUUACUCUAAGGUCCUUAAUAGAAGGGGGGACA